rnacentral:rRNA from 1 species
UACGUAGGGUGCAGGCGUUAAUCGGAAUUACUGGGCGUAAAGGGCGCGUAGGCGGCCUGCUAAGUCGAACGUGAAAUCCCCGGGCUCAACCCGGGAACUGCGUCCGAGACUGGCGGGCUCGAAUUCGGGAGAGGGAUGCGGAAUUCCAGGUGUAGCGGUGAAAUGCGUAGAUAUCUGGAGGAACACCGGUGGCGAAGGCGGCAUCCUGGACCGAUAUUGACGCUGAUGCGCGAAAGCCAGGGGAGCAAACGGG